rnacentral:rRNA from 1 species
CAGUCGCCACGGUAAUACGUAGGUGGCAAGCGUUGUCCGGAAUUAUUGGGCGUAAAGGGCUCGCAGGCGGUUUCUUAAGUCUGAUGUGAAAGCCCCCGGCUCAACCGGGGAGGGUCAUUGGAAACUGGGAAACUUGAGUGCAGAAGAGGAGAGUGGAAUUCCACGUGUAGCGGUGAAAGGCGUAGAGAUGUGGAGGAACACCAGUGGCGAAGGCGACUCUCUGGUCUGUAACUGACGCUGAGGAGCGAAAGCGUGGGGAGCGAACAGGAUUAGAUACCCCUGUAGUCCCUGUCUCUUAUAC